CUGGACUUUUCAACAGUAAUUCAAGUUGCUUUCUUUGGUUUUCUUUCAGAAUUUGAAUUUUGUGAGUAUCUUCUAAGUCACUCCUAAUCCUAACUAAUUUGAGAGACCAUUGGAAUUCAUUCAGAAGACCCAGCUUCAGUUUGUGUUUAAUUUCUGAAUGUAGAACAGGUAAUCAUUUACAUAGAGAUCAAAAACACAAAUAUAUCUCUACAAGGCAUGUUAUAUGCUUCAGAUUACAUAUUAGAUGAUCUACCUCACCUCAGAUUUAAUUCCAACUUGAUGUUACAUUUCAGAAUUGAGAAUACUAAUGUGCUUUUAUCAAACAAAUGUGCAACUGAAUGAAUGAGUUAUUCAGGCUAGAUGUUUACAAUUCAUGUUUUACUUCUUUUGGUGUUUACACAGUUCCUCCUAUCAAGUAUUCUACGAUGGGUACAUACUGUGAUGUUUCUUGGGAAAAUGUAUCAGUUUGAGAGCUCUAUUUUAAAAUAAUUUUUCCUGAGAUAAUUGUACUUGCAAUGAAAGUAAUGGGAUCCCUGACUUGGUUUUAAGUUUAGCAACCACUUUGGUUUCAACCAAAAAAAGAACUUUAUAUGACAGCCAAUUAUUAGAACCAGUUGAAGUUACUGGUUAUGUAUAAAGGGACCUACACUGGCUGUGUCUAUGUCAUAAAGGCUUUUAGCUGGAACUUGAAUUUUUAUGUUUUUAUUUUAAAGAGAAAGGUCUUGUAGUUAUGUGAAUCUAUUUCAUCUACAUUUCAAUUUAAAUGUUAUUUAAAAGCCAAGAUAAUUGCUACCUACUGUGUUGUACACUUCUGCUUUGUGUAAGCCUUAAUAACAAUCUUAAUUAGGCUAAUUUUAGUCAGAUUAAUACUUGUGUGUGUCAGCACUAACUACUGAAUACCACAUACUGCAGGAUUUUAAUUAAUGCUAAGGAAAGGAAAUGUUCAUAGUGUAAACAUUUUGAACUAAAAAAAAAGAUAAAAUGAAGUAAACCCAAUUAUGACAGAGGAUAAAUUACAAUAAUAUCAUUAGUUCUGGAUAUUUAGUGAAUUAAGAUUGACUUAAAUAGAUAAAUCCACACAAGUGUAAUAUCAGGAAAAUGCAGUCCUUGGUAAAGCACUCUGAGCCUAUGAAGUCUUUGCUUUUCACAGUCUUGGAAGACUUAGCAAUUUUUUUUUAAUAGUUGGUACCCUGAUAUACUUUUUGACCUCCAUAGGUGAUGAACUCAGGAAUGUUGUAUCUUGAAUCAGAAACACCUUUGUCAUUGCAUUGUUUAUGAACUAGACAAAAAAAAUAAGUUUAUUUUUCCUUUGUAAAUUUCUAGUUUGACCAACUGGGUAAGAUUUCCCCAUCUCUCACUCUUGGUCUGGGCUGUGACUUUGUAUGUCAAACAUUAGGCAUUGCCAUUGACUUUACCAUCUGCCUCCUUAAACAUGACAGUGCCUGGAAGGGGAAUUCCUGAAUGUGGAAGAGAGUGUGAGAGCCUAAGGAGUAACUGCCCAUUGUGAUGACAAAGGGAGUUUUUCAGUUACUUCGUAGUGCUAAUUGGAAACAUGAUUAAGGAUGCCAAGCUAGCAUCAAUACAUUAACUACUAUAAUCUAACAGCUACAUUUAGCUGGUAAGCAGAAUAGUAACAGUAAUAAUAAUAAUAAGUUAUACCCUUAAAAUUAGAAAACCUGUUCAAAUGACACUAUCUUUGUGAUCGCUGAUCUAUUAAAUGAUAGUUUAUCAUGAAAUUAAAUGUGAUUUGUGUAUAAAGGUACCUAAGUUCAAAUUAGGAACUCAUAAGUUCAUUCAUAAUUCAUAUACUCAUCUACUUCACCCAUAUUUUCAGGCACUUGAGUUCAAGGUGAAAGGUAACUUUACUAUGAGACUAAUUCAAUUAUGUAAAUCAGUAUCAAAAAGUACCCCAGAUUGGUACUUUUAUGUCUUGAUAAAACUUGUCAGUCUUUCAUAAUCAUAAUCAGAAUAUGGAAAACUUAAGGAAAUAUCUAGUUUAAAAGAUGCAUAUCAUCACGCUUUUAUAGUCCCAUAGCAAAACAUAUACAAAUGAAUGAAUGAAUGGAGUGUGGUUCAGAAACAACUGAAGUCAGUAUUCUGUACCCAGUGGAACAUAGCUUAGUAUCUUUUGAAGUGAGUCUAGUUUUUCCUUUUUCCUGUGCAAUAGGUCUUGUUACCAAUUUUGAAGGGAAAUGUUUAAUUCAUUAACAACAUCAAACAAUAUACUAAAUAACUCUAACUUUUCUUAAUCCAGAAAAAAAAAUACCUUCUUUAGGAAUAGGUAUGAUUUCAAAUAUGUGGGAGUACAGAAUUGUCCAAAUGAAAGUCGCUGAACUUUAAAGUGAAUUUAAGACUUCUUAUUCUCAGGAAGAAUUUAUUUUAUCCACGUUGUAUAGGAUAUUUUCCUAAGGUAUCCAAAAUUUUUAAAUUUGUAGUAAUGAGGAUGACGUGGAAGCUCAGAUUGGGAUAUUUCUUGAUACUCUACAAAACUGCCAAGAUUUUUGUUUCACAGUAUGAUUCUCCUCCAUUUUGUCCUGCACGCAUUUUGUUUCAAUCAUGGACUUGCUAGGGGUAUAUACAAACCAUGUCUUUUCUUUUUUAUCUUCAAAGUACCCAUGCUAAUCCUGUACAUUCACCAAAUAUGUGCUGGCUUUUGGAUUUCUAUAUUGGCAGACAGAAAAUACUUUUUAAGACUUGAGGAUGGAUUGUCAAGACCUAUUAAGACUUAUAGUUUGCUAAAGCCUAUUACAAUAAAUAAAAAUGGGGUUACUGGCUUAAGAAACACAUCACAAAAGGUUAUGUACUGCAGUCCUCUAUAAUUGAAGAUGAUAAAAUAAACUAAGGUGAGUUUAGUCACUUUUAGUUCUAACCAAACAAACCCACCCCCAUGAAGUGAUCUUGAGUGAUCUGGGAGAUAAAGAACAGGAAACACAGACGAUGAAAUGUAACUUCUGUAAACAGAGAAGCAGCAAAAAGUAUCUGUGACUAGAAGACUGUGUAGUCUCCACAGAUUAUUUCAAAAGAAGAGCUUAAGAAUAAGAACAGGUUAAGUGAGAGAAGAGAAUCUUCUAUGUGCCUGACCUUGACUAUUUCAAUAGAAUUGUUUCUCAAGUAGAGGAUAAGAUGUUAGGUUACCAUUGCAUAUUACUUAAGAACUUCAAACUCCCUUUGCUUUCUGUUUAUGCUCACCAAACAAUUAAAUAUGCCCCUUGCACAUGAUGACUCAUAAAAAUAGCUAAUAUUUAUAGAGCUUUUGCUAUGUGUUUGGACUACGUUCUGGGCACUGAGUCAUCCUGAGUGAUUUCAAAAGUUUUACAGAACAAAAGGAUCCAAAAUUUAUCUAAGGUAUGUCCUUCAGUGAAAAAAAAAAAUAAGCAAAGUAAAACAGGAAAGCUUCGGUGGCUUUUUCAAA